rnacentral:sRNA from 1 species
UUCAUUUUGACUUGAUCUUCAUCACGUCAACAUGAACUUUGAUUUUACUGUAUAACUUGUAUUUACUGUAAUAACAACAAUAUAUAACAAUUAGAGGUUGUAGAUAUUAUGAUCAAUUACUU